ACGACCAAAUCACGUUGAAAAUAUCGGUUCGUACGAUCACCGAAUUUAAGCAACGUCGAGCCUGGUCAGUACCUAGAUGGGUGACCGCUUGGGAAUACCAGA